UACGAAGGGGGCUAGCGUUGUUCGGAAUUACUGGGCGUAAAGGGCUCGUAGGUGGCCAACUAAGUCAGACGUGAAAUCCCUCGGCUUAACCGGGGAACUGCAUCUGAUACUGGAUGGCUUGAGAUUGGGAGAGGGAUGCGGAAUUCCAGGUGUAGCGGUGAAAUGCGUAGAUAUCUGGAGGAACACCGGUGGCGAAGGCGGCAUCCUGGACCAACACUGACGCUGAGGAGCGAAAGCCAGGGGAGCAAACGGG
rnacentral:rRNA from 1 species